rnacentral:lncRNA from 1 species
AGCUUCUGAAGAGAAGACGUGAAGAAAACAGAGAGAGAGGCAGGAUUCUGAAGAAAUCAUCCAUCAUCCAUCCAUCAUCCAUCAUCCAUCCAUCAUCAUCAUCCAUCAUCAUCCAUCCAUCAUCCAUCAUUCAUCCAUCAUCAUCCAUUCAUCAUCCAUCAUCAUCAUCCAUCCAUCAUCAUCCAUCAUCAUCAUCCAUCAUCCAUCCAUCAUCCAUCCAUCAUCCAUCCAUCAUCAUCCAUCAUCAUCCAUCCAUCAUCAUCCAUCCAUCAUCAUCCAUCAUCAUCAUCCAUCCAUCAUCCAUCAUCCAUCCAUCAUCCAUCCAUCAUCAUCAUCAUCAUCCAUCCAUCAUUAUCCAUCAUCAUCAUCCAUCAUCCAUCCGUCCAUCCAUCAUCCAUCCAUUCAUCCAUCCAUCAUCCAUCCAUUCAUCCAUCCAUCAUCCAUCCGUCCAUCCAUCAUCCAUCCAUUCAUCCAUCCAUCAUCCAUCCAUUCAUCAUCCAUCAUCCAUCCAUUCAUCCAUCCAUCAUCCAUCCAUUCAUCCAUCCAUCAUCAUCCAUUCAUCAUCCAUCCAUCAUCAUCCAUCAUCAUCCAUCCAUCCAUCCAUCAUCCAUCCAUCCAUCAUCCAUCCAUCAUCCAUCCAUCAUCAUCCAUCCAUCCAUCAUCCAUCCAUCCAUCAUCAUCAUCAUCCAUCAUCAUCCAUCAUCAUCCAUCCAUCCAUCAUCAUCCAUCCAUCAUCAUCCAUCAUCAUCAUCCAUCCAUCAUCCAUCAUCCAUCCAUCAUCCAUCCAUCAUCCAUCCAUCAUCAUCAUCAUCAUCCAUCCAUCAUUAUCCAUCAUCAUCAUCCAUCAUCCAUCCGUCCAUCCAUCAUCCAUCCAUCAUCCAUCCAUCCAUCAUCCAUCCAUCAUCCAUCCAUCAUCAUCCAUCAUCCAUCCAUCAUCCAUCCAUCCAUCCAUCAUCAUCCAUCAUCAUCAUCCAUCAUUAUCCAUCAUCAUCCAUCAUCAUCCAUCCAUCCAUCAUCAUCCAUCCAUCCAUCAUCAUCAUCCAUCAUCAUCCAUCAUCAUCCAUCCAUCCAUCAUCAUCAUCCAUCAUCAUCCAUCAUCAUCCAUCAUCAUCCAUCCAUCCAUCCAUCAUCCAUCAUCCAUCCAUCCAUCCAUCCAUCAUCACCAUCCAUCAUCAUCCAUCAUCAUCAUCCAUCAUCAUCCAUCAUCAUCCAUCAUCAUCCAUCCAUCCAUCCAUCCAUCAUCAUCCAUCCAUCAUCAUCAUCAUCCAUCAUCAUCCAUCCAUCAAUCCAUCCAUCCAUCCAUCCAUCCAUCC